CCGUAUACGCCCUACGGGGGAAAAAUUUAUUGCUAUUAGAUGAGCCUAUAUUAGAUUAGUUAGUUGGUGAGGUAAAGGCUUACCAAGACAAUGAUCUAUAGCUGAUCUGAGAGGAUGAUCAGCCACACUGGAACUGAGAUACGGUCCAGACUCCUACGGGAGGCAGCAGUGGGGAAUAUUGGACAAUGGGCGAAAGCCUGAUCCAGCCAUGCCGCAUGAGUGAAGAAGGCCUUCGGGUUGUAAAGCUCUUUUAGUGAGGAAGAUAAUGACGGUACUCACAGAAGAAGUCCUGGCUAACUCCGUGCCAGCAGCCGCGGUAAUACGGAGAGGGCUAGCGUUAUUCGGAAUCAUUGGGCGUAAAGGGCGCGUAGGCGGGUUGGUAAGUUAAAAGUGAAAUCCCAAGGCUCAACCUUGGAACUGCUUUUAAAACUGCUAGUCUAGAGAUUGAAAGAGGAUAGAGGAAUUCCUAGUGUAGAGAUGAAAUUCGUAAAUAUUAGGAGGAACGCCAGUGGCGAANGCGUCUAUCUGGUUCAAAUCUGACGCUGAGGCGCGAAGGCGUGGGGAGCAAACAGGAUUAGAUACCCUGGUAGUCCACGCUGUAAACGAUGAAUGUUAAAUAUGGGAAGUUUACUUUCUGUAUUAUAGCUAACGCGUUAAACAUUCCGCCUGGGGACUACNGUCGCAAGAUNAAA
rnacentral:rRNA from 1 species